rnacentral:misc_RNA from 1 species
GAAGUGGGGAGCUCGCACGGUAGCACCCGAAUCCCGCGGUUCCGGCCGCCUUCCUUCCCUCGCUAAGGAGCAGCUCGUUCGGCUCCGUUUCUGCGAAGCGGGGAGAGCGGGAGCCCCGCCAGCGCCUUCUUCACCUCUCUUCGAUCCCCUCGCUCCGUCUUGCGCUCUGUUUCUCCUAUCGCCCACUUCACAGAUCCGCUGCCUGUGCACACCUGGCGAGUGGCGGUGUGUGUGCGUGUGCAGUCGUUGGGGGCCCGAACAAACGACCGUCACAGGGAGAGCUCGAGGGCUCGACACGAGCCUCCGACCGUCCUUGUGGAGAAGCCGAAGAAGGUGCCAUCGUUGUUGGCCAAGCCAAGAGGAAACUAAAAGCCGUCGUCGUUUGUGGAAAGAAGUGCGUGCCCGUGACGCACUUGCCGGCAGUCUCUCUCGCUGGCCCGCUCUUCUUCUGCUUCUCUCUAUCUUCUUCCUUUCUCUGUGCAUUCGUGCGCGCGUGUGUGCGGGGGGCAUCGGCGAGGAGGGGAGAGUGCGGCCACGCAGUCUUAAUCACUUCUUUGCUGUGCUCUGCUUCCUCCGGUGGCGACAGCUCGACCUACCAGCCAUCCUUUUCGCUGCCACACCAACUUCAUCGCCUCAGCCGCGACCUUUCAAGUCAAGUCUCGCCCUCCCUUCGUGGGUGAGCACGUGCGAUUUUUUCGUUGUUGGUUUGUUUGUCGACUGCAUUCGUUUUAAUACGUCUUCCUUGUGCAGACACGUUUUGCCUCUUCCAUCUUCCGCUUCGCUGUGUUCUUUGUUGUUGUUGUUGCGGGGGUCUCGAUCUCCACCCUCCCCGAUUCAGCUCACCGCCUGUUGGUCUCAUUGUACGAUUAUUUGUCUGCCCUAAAGGUCGGUUUUCCCCUGCCCACAGCCGCUACACUGCACACACACACACAGACACACAGAAGCACAAGUACCGACAAAGCCACAGCGAAGGAGGCCGCCCCACCUUUCAGCAACCGGAAGACACAGAAAAUCGCUGUGCCGCUCGCUCAGUUGGCUUCCCGUGUUUUCCGGUGUUUCCUCUCUAUCUUUUGUAUAUGCGUCGCUUGUGCUGUGCCGCUUUUUUUUUUACUCAGCGCUUCUGCGGCUCUUCUCAUCGUGUGGUCUUACGUUGGCUCGGCAUCAGCAGACGCCAAGGAGUCGCGCGGGUUGCACCGCUACAACGAGCGUAGAGCGAUACCAGCAGGGGUGGCGGGGGAGGCGACGUGGGGACGCCCUGCGCGUGCGCUUUUUUUGCACUGUUGUUUUUUUUUUUGCAGAGUCUCACGGUUUCCCAGUGUGAUCAAUAAUGUCGCGACUGAAGAUCAACCUUGACGCCAUCGAGCGCGAUGGAGCAAGCGCAACAGAGGGCUUCUGCGCCGACGGCGUCCGCAUCGGUUCGCUUCUGGUGUCGUCUGAGGGAGUGCGGGAUAAUCAGGGCAACUCGUGCGUGCUGUCUCUCAGUGACCUUGAAGUGGUUCCGGAAACGGAGGGCGGCUUCUUAGGGAAAGGCAGCAGCGGCUCUGUUCGCCGUGCGGUUCACCGGGGCAGCAAUAAGGUGGUCGCCCUCAAGGAAAUCAAAGUGACAGGGCAGACGCACAUCAAUGAAAUUCGACGCGAGCUGGAGACGCUGCACGCUGGCGACUUUGCAACGCCCUACCUCGUCAGUUUCUACGGUGCGUUCGCACAUGAGGGGUCCGUCUUUAUCGCGAUGGAAGCGAUGGACGGCUCUCUGCACGAGCUAUACAAACCCGUCCCACCACCUGUCUUGGCAUCCAUCACACGACAGAUGCUGAAGGGACUCACGUACCUGCAUCGUACCCGCCAUCUCAUUCAUCGCGAUUUGAAGCCCAGCAACGUCCUCUACAACAGCCGCACCGGCGACAUCAAGAUAUCCGACUUUGGUGUGAGCUCUAAUCUGGAGUGCACCAAGGCAGACGCUCACAGCUUUGUUGGCACGGUUACGUACAUGAGUCCUGAGCGGCUGCGAGGCGAGUACUACUCGUACGGGGCGGAUAUAUGGUCUCUGGGGCUCGUUGUCGCAGAGCUGGCCGUGGGCGUGUGCCCGUAUGCCGGUUUGCGCGGUGGCAGCAGCGAGGCGCGCUUCUGGGCACUGUUGCAGCAUCUCAACGGUGACGGUGCAGCGCUAGAGCUACCGCCGGAGAUGGAUAGCGACCUGGCCGACUUCAUAAGCGCGUGUGUCGUGAAAUCUCCUGAACGACGGCCCACGUGUACCGAGUUGCUACGUCAUCCGUUCAUUUUGAGGCACACAGCUGCGGCGCCAGAGGCGGAGGCGCAACCGUUCUCGACCACUACUUCCAUUGCUCCUGCCCCCGGAGGACUCUUUUCACCGCUGAAUCGCGCCUCGCCUGUGGCAGGGUCAGCCGUGCCCCUUGCAAGCGAGGGGAGCAUUCUUAAGGCUACCUCGCCAUCUCGAGCGGCGGCGGCGCCGCUGCCGCUGCCAUCUCCCCUUGAGCGGCACGACGGCGAAACGGAUGCGGAUGUCGCAGACCGCACCGUCGUUGCGAGAUGGAUCCAUGCUGUGAUGGCGCGGAAGGUGUUGCACAGAGCGAGAGGGCACGGCAGCGAGGACCCGCACCUGGAGCCACUUGCUGCCGUAUCGGCGUCCACAGCCACAGGCUUGGGCGAGAGAGGCGGGGCGGCGGGUGUUUCUGCGGUUAGCUCAGAGGAUCCACAGGUCGCACAGCUUAGGGAGUUCCGCGCCGAGAGGAAUCUAGAGCGGCACUCGGGUGAUGGCGGCAGUGCCCCCGUGGAGCAAGACUGCAUAGCUGGCGUACGCUCUCUCACGUGUGACGACCUGCGGCGGACCUCCACAGGGGAACCGUCUGUCAACCUCGAUGAUGAACUAAAUCGGCUUCUCUUCUGAAAUGUGUCCUUGUUGCCGGUUUGGCGCAGUCUUGCUUCCUCGUCUUUUCUUUUUCGGUGCUCUCUUGUCAAAGGCAAAUAAAAAGUAGAGCAGCCCAAUCAGCCCGAGCGAGCUGUCGAAGGAUCUAUAGGUACAGGGGAGGGGGUUGUAGCUUGACGUUGAGAGAGCACCAAAGGCAAACCGUGUGCGCCGUCGCCUGCUCAUCGUGGCACAUGCUUGCUACAACGACGUGCGUGCCAUAACAGUAGGAGGGGCACAAGACGAUGUCUAAGGCGUUCGAUCCUGCCUUAGAAUGUUCUCUGGAACAAAAAAAAAGGAAUCAUGAAGGCCACGCAUCGACACAUCCACACCCUGUCUGGCGCACUCAUCUCCACUGUGCGAUAGGCGAGCUUGUCACCGGCUAUCCUCCUCGUGUUUGUCUUUUUUUUUCCAAAUUUAUUAUGAUCGCUUGGAGGUCGAUGCACUUUAAGCGCGCAAUGUUGCCGAAAACGAAACGCAAGAUGUCGUGAGGGGCUAUGCUCUUCUGGGUUUGUUGUGAGAAAAAAUGGUGGCGUUGUUGUGCGUCACGCUUCUUAUAUUUUUCUUUGUGUAUUUCGCUGUAGAGGGAGGGGAGGGGAGGGAGAGUUGUGUCCGCGGCCCUUUCACUUCUGCAGCUUUCUCACUCUCUUCCCAUCGCUCUCUCGAUCUUCACCUCUUCGUUAUAUUUCGUUUGCUCGCUUCGAUCUCGACAAGCCGUGCUGUGCCCAUUUCUUGUUUCGCCGUCUUUCUGUCUUGUUCUGGCUGCUCAACUCAUUGGUGGCCCUCGAUUCAAAGCAAAAGAACGAAAGCCUAAUAGGGUAGUACCAUCGCGCAAGGCGCAAUCCAUCGCUCAACCACGACCUUUUUUUUCUCCGCGUUGUUUUCGUUCUUUGCGGGCGUGGGCGUCGCUGUGCUCGCUCUUUUCGUUUUCCUUUCUCGUUGGAUAGCAGACGCGAAGAGGAAGAGGGACGAAGGUGACGGAAAGCGGCUUUGCCGGGAUUCGUGUGUAUGUGUGUGUCUUCUUCGCUUUCCGACUUACAUUUUUCAUUCUGUUUCUUCCAGGCUUCGACUGUUUUAUUAUUAUUUUCGUGUGUGUGUUUGUGUGUGUGCGCAGGCGGUUAGGACCUCUCCGUCUUUCUCUGGCUGGCACUGUUUUUUUUUUCUGUUGUUGCUAUUUUGGAUUUAGCGCGUAAGGAACAUCUGCCGACCUUACCACUUCCGUGCUUUCCUUAUCUUCCCCUUGUUCUCUUCGUCGUCUAUGGCGGUCUUCUACUUUUUCGCGCUUCACUUUCAUGUUGCUCGACUCCUUUGCUGGAAUGGCUCUCUCUCUCUCUGUUUUUGGUAUUUCUUGUUUUUUGUCCCCGAAGCCUUUCAGCACCUUUAUGCAUGUGUAUGAGUGCGUAUGGCCGACUUUUUUUUUCUUUUUUUUUGCUUCACUUCUAGCGAGGGGUCAUGUGGUGCGGUUGGUGUGCAUCAUGAUAGAAAAUGAUCGUCAACGUUAUUGUUGUUUGGACGCACCUCCCUCUGCAUGCCUCUUAUCCUUCACUGUUCCUUUAUUUUCGCCCCUUUUCUCUUUGCCGUUCUCUCUCUCAGCUUCUGUAGGUCGCUCUGCAUGUUGGUCUGCCUGCCCACUUCGCCAUGCUCCCUCGGCUCUCUUCUGUGUGUAUGUGCUGCGGUUGUUCAUCUCCGGACCAGCGUUGCCACAGACAUCUUCACCACUCGAAGAAAAGAAAGGAUAGAAGCGCCUAUCGCAAACCGUUAUAUCGUCUACUAUUAUUGCGCAUCGCUGUUGUAUCUAAUGCCUACGUGCGGCGUUUCAUGAGCGGCUCUCUCCUUCCUCUCCCCUACUCCGUCUUUUCCGUGUCUGCUUGUGCGCGUGUAAUUCAGUUGGCGUUUGCUGUCGUUAGUCCUUCUUUUGUUGAAUUCCCCCUGUCUUGCUCACCAGCGCGUCUCGUGCCUUCUGAAUCCUCUGAUCAAGUCGUAUUAUUAUUAUUAUUAUUAUUAUUGUGUGUGUGUUUUCUGCGACUGCAACGAGGCACCUCUCAACGCAGUUCACUGGAUCGCUCUCUGGCACCCUACACACAGACACGCAUUUUCUUUUCAGCAACGUGUCCAUUCGUGUUCCAUAAAACGCUGGCCGAACGCCACACUUGUCCCUGUGCGGUACAGGCCCCCAUUGCGGAGUGCGAAGCGGCCGUAGACACGCGCGGCAGAGCGCAAUGCGCCGACUCCGUCACCUGAGAGCACGGAGCCCCUGCCCUCGACUUCCACACGCAACCGUCUCGCAAGUCGCCUCACAGCCUCGCCCGUAAUGCCGGUCACCACCUGCAAGGGCUCUGCAUUGGCAGGGAGGGGGAGGGCUGCCUGGCUGCGUCCCACAUGGAGUGAAGCACUGGACCCCCGUGAUGACGUUAGCCACCCUACCAUAGUAUCAGAUUUGCGUGCGUACUCUGUGAGGAAAUCCCAAAGAAAAAAAACCUGCAGCUUGCCCUCGGGUGCGGUUGUGGGCUCGUGAUGUUGGCGGACGGGUCUGUGUCGACCCUGUGCCGAAGAGACUUGAGGUUGUGGGGAGGUGUCUACCGACUCAGUGAGAUUCGUAUUGGGUGAUGCCACCAAUUCUUUCUCACGGGGUGCACAGAAGAGGAGACCUCCGUUUCCCUCCUUUGCUUCCUCUGUACUCCACUUUUAUAAGAUACCGUUUUGAUCGCAGGUGGGGGAGGGGACAGCCUCGAUGGGCCACCGCGUUGCCCAUACCAUUGGUUUUCAGGCAGCAACGAAGGAGAAGGUGUGUGCGCUCGUUUGGCGGUUCGGCGUUUCUUUUUCCGUUUUUGUUCUGGUUCGCUGUUGUCCUCUGUGCUGUCCACAUUUGUUUUCUUUUUCUAUUGAGACCCAGCAUUCCGGGAACUCGGAAUACUGGCACACACGCGCAAUUUGCAGAGAAACACUCAAGUUCGCAUGGCAAUCCCUCCGCCGUGUGCUUCACCGACUUUUGAUUCUGCAGGGUUGCCCCCUCCCUCCCCCAAUCUUCUCUGUAGUGUAAAACUGCUCUCUUCUUCCCCCACUACACACACAAACACACACACACACACAUAAACAUACAUACACGCUCGCGGUAAG